GGGGCCGUAGUCUAGCAUGGUAUGAUUCGCGGCUCGGGCCCGCGAGGUCCUGGGUUCGAAUCCCAGCGGCCCCA
rnacentral:tRNA from 2 species